rnacentral:lncRNA from 1 species
AAUCCUAAUGAAUCUCAAUCAAUCCUAAGUCAAAUCCUAAUUAAAAUCCUAAUUGAAUCUUAAUCAAAUCCUAGAUUAAAUCCUGGGUCAAGUCUUAAUUGAAACCCUAAUUAAACUUCAAGAAAAUCUUAGGUUAAAUCCUAAUGAAGCCCUAAUGAAUUCUAAAUCCUAAACAAAUUCUAAAGAAGUCCUAAUCAAAAUCAAAAUCUUAAACAAAUUCUUAACAAAUCCUAUAGCAGAUUGAAACCUCAACAAUUAAUGAUCAAACUAUUGAUAUUAAUUCAAAAUUUGCACACUUCUUAAUAUCUUAGUUAGAAAUAGGCACAAGAAAGAUGAAAUUGAUCGCACUUAUCAAUUGAGAGAAAUGUAAGAUAAUCCAAUUGGGUAUUGGAUGGCCUCCUAUUCCAAAUUAAAUUCUAAACUUCCAGUACCAAUAUCUCCUUCUUGAAUCAUUGAAUUGCUCUCAAAUUUCACCCAAAUAUUGGAAAUU